AGAACACAGUAUCUGGUUUUCUGUUGCUGUGUUAAUUUGCUCAGGAUAAUGGCUUCCAGAUGCAUCCAUGUUGCUCCAGAGGACACGAUUUUGUUCUUUUUUUGUGGCUGUGUAGUAUUCCCUGGUGUACAUGUAUCACAUUUUCUUUAUCCAACCUUCUGUUGGCACCUGGGUUGGUUUCAUGUCUUUGCUAUUGUUUGACACACUUUUUAGUUGUGUUGUUUGUUUUCUUAUUGAGUUUCAAGAAUUCUUGUGUCUUUUGCAAAUAUUUUCUUCCAAUUAGCAACUUAUAAUAAAAUGUUAAGUCCCAAGAUAAUAAGAUACCACCUAUCAUGUCAGUACUUCUGAAUAAACAGCCUUGAUGAGCUAUCUCUUCUGAAGUUCAUCCACAUCCAAAUGCAUGCUCUGUGUAAGAAUGACUUUACCGCUUAAAAUAUGAGUGAAAAGAAUGGACAUCAAUAUCCCUUAGUUGUUGCCAGAGAAAAAAAGGGAGAAAGUGCUAAGAAAUGAUUCUACAUAUUUUAUAUUUCUUCCAUUCACAUUUAUUCUUUACAUAUUUGCUGAGAGCCUUUUAUAUUCCACGUGUCAUGUUGAUGACAGAUACAUGGGGAUAAAUAAAACCUUUUUAUACCUUUUAACAUGGAGUAGUCAAUGUGCAUGGUAGUAAUGGAGUUUGGUAGGGUAGGGUUACAUGAAAGUAGUACGUUAUAAAACACUGCAGAAUCUUCCACAAUAAAAAAUGCACUAGAGAUGCAUUCCCUGAAAGACCUGAGUCAAUAUCCCUCAGCAAAAGACGAAAAUAAAAAGGAAUAAGAGUUAAGUGCAUUCAGAGGUGAGAACUUAUUUUAUGACUACUGACAUGGGAUCAGAAUUGAA
rnacentral:lncRNA from 1 species